rnacentral:lncRNA from 1 species
UUGUCUUCCCUCACUCCAGUUAUGUCAGGCACAUAGUGCAUCUCAUCUUGCUUGAUAUUCGAGGAGUCCUUGAUGGUCUUGCCGCCGCGCCCCCUCUUUUUAUGCCUCCUCUUAUUGUCCCACUCCUUUUGCUCCUCUGCCUUAUACUUGUCAUCGAUCUUGUGGCCACCCAUGGACUCAGCGGCACCCAAGAGAGAGAAGGUAGGAGGGACGCUUUCAGCCUGUGCCGACCCUGUGGUCUAACUGUCUUUAAGCUGUGAAGGCAUCGACAUUGUCCGCUCUUCAUCUCCACCGGCAUCGACAGGAGGCAGUAUCCUAGGGGAAAGACCGGCGAUUGAGAAGUACCUUUUGUGGGCGGAGGGAGCUGGAGUCAUAGAGGGCCGGCAUUGGUUGUAGAGAGAUACCAAGCUCUUAGGCCACAUAAUGUGGUAUUUUGGACAACAGCUUAGGAUAUCCACGCCUUCCUCCGGAGGUAGCGGGAUAGCAUAAUCGGGAUGCUCCUCGACGACAGAGUCCAUCAUCACACUCACUUGUGUGUCGUUCAUAAGAAUGCCAUGCACCAGUGGCGGUGAUUGUCUGGGCAUCAGGCGGCCAGUGGCGCCUACAGGCUUGUCUACGUGAAUACGACACUUCACUGGUGCCUGCGCGUAACAAGAAGAAGGCAUAUGUGUGUUAUCUUUAUUCAUGAAGGUAAGGAGUGAAAAAGAGUUUGAAAAGUAUGCUUACAAGGAUGUUGUCGCUCGGGCCCGGAUCGUUAUCCCGGAUGCCCUCGCUUGGGUCCGGUUGGCUAGCGGGGGGGUUGUCCAUGCUAGGAGCCGGGCUGUAACCUGGGGUGUAUGUGUCAUGGUAUUCCAUACGUGUGUCGGAGCCGGCGCUGCUCUUCAGCGGGGUGCUCUUUCGCGGGGGAAGAGGAGAAAGAGGAUGAAGGAGGUUCCUCAAACCGUCCACUCCUCCCCCGAGUAUGGCGUCAAGGGCGGGGUGGUCUUUGGCCAAUGCCGACACCAAAUGAUGGACGGCUUGCACGGCAUAUUCUCUUGACACCUCUUGACACACCAUAGAUGCCUGCUUUUUCUGGACCCUGCAGAAGCGGGGAGCUUUUUCUAGACCCUGCUUUGCUUCGGAGCAGGCGGGAAAUAAUCAUCCCAGCAGGCCCCUCCGCCUUCCCCCAGAACACGGCACGUGUGCUCCGCCUUUUCCAAGCCGGCGGUCACAGCCGAAUCUCACCUCUUGCUCUGCACGGAGUCGGCGGAUGUUUCUGACCUCUUGCUCUCCUCCCAUUUGUGGUUAUUUUCCUGUUAUCAUAUAAUACAGGACCUGAGUCUAUAUGGAUCGCGCGUGUUAUAAUUAACGCUGAAAACAAAGUAAUGCACAUGAACCCUUACGGUAAAAAAUUUAACAGGCGGCUGCAUUGCCUCAAUGCCCGCCCACUCCUUUGGUGUCAUGUGCUGACGUGCAUAUUCUUUAGCACGUUUAUCCUCCAGAAUAUUAUGCACUGGAGGCACCCUGCCUGCCGCCUCGAGAAUUCGGUCCUGCUUGCGCCAGACCUUCCUCUUCCCCUCUUUACCUGCACUCCCUAGCCUGUGGUUCAACGGCUUUCUCGCGCGCAACGCCCUCAUACGUUCACUCUUCGCAAUGAAGGCAGGGUCAGACGAUUUCUUCUUGAAUUUUUCCCAUUUGGCCUCAUCAGUUAUCGACGGCUAAUUCUUCUUGAUGAUCGCAUAGGGUUUGUCCAUCCACUUUCUAGCGGUACAUUUCCAAGUAGCAAGACCAUUCCGCACUGCUAUAUUGAUGGACGCUCAAAAUAGCUCGCGCCACUCGUCACCUGGCAUGAAGUAUUUCCAUUCACGGGGUAGUCAUGCACGCAGGUCAGAAGCGCUGCUCUCAUCGUGAAGUACUCCCUCCUGUUUGCGUCCCAAACCACUCUGCCGGGGUUUCAAAACUGCUUCAGCUCAUCCUUCACUAGCUGCAAAUACACAUUUAGGUUAGCUCCCGGCUGCUUUGGACCCUGUAUGAGCAUGCACAUGUGGAUUUACUUUCUUUUCAUGAUUAACCAUGGAGGAAGGUUGUAGACAAACAAGAUCACUAGCCAUGUGAUGUGCUUGUUGUGCAUGUUUCCAAAAGGAUUUAUCCCGUCAGUGCUGAGACCGAGCCUCAGGUUUCUGGGCUCUGCCCCGAAAUCUGGAAAUGCCGUGUCGAAGUUCCUCCACUGAGUCCCAUCGGCAAGGUGUCUUAGGACCCCAGCUUCCUCCACACGGUAGUGCCCGUUGAGAUCGAAUGCUGCCUGCGCCGGAUCGUGAUGGACGAGAUACCUCGCGUCCUUAACGUUCUGCAUCCAACGCUCAACUCGGCCACCUGCCAUAAGAUACCAGUCAGUCUUUGCCGGCAUGUCCUUCAUCACUUCUUCCCCAUCGUCUUCGCCAGCUCUGGCGUUUUUCUUCUUGUAUCUCGAUGCACCGCAUAUGUGGCAGCUCUCAUGGUUCUCGUAUUCUCUAAUGUAUAUCAUGCAGUCGUUUGGACAUGAAUGAUGUUUCACGCAAUCUAACCCAAACGGGCAUGUAAUCUUCUUCGUCUCGUAUGUGCUCUUCGGCAACUUGUUUGGCUGUGGAAAAACCGAAGCAAGGUAACUCAACAAGUCCGUGAAGCCCUUGUCCGACCAGCAUGAUGUUGCCUUCAGCCUCAAAAGUUCGAGCGUUACUUCGAGCACGUUGUUUUCUACGCCAGCUCCAUCAUACAAGGGUGUGUUUGUGUUCUCCAACAAUUUUUUGAACUGAGCAGACUCUGCCUCAUCUUCGGGGUCCUCCAGCUGGUCCCGUAGGUACAGAUCAUCUAGCAUUUCGGCCAUCCUGCCACAUGGAGCUCCUUCACCUUCCACAUUUGCAUCCUCAUCGACCCUUGUUUCUUCCUCGGAAUCAUUCGCCAGAUCAUACCCCGGGACAUCAUCAUCUUCGCUACUGCUACCGACAUCAACCGCAUCAUCCCCGUGACAAGUCCACCGUGAAUAACCUUUCACAAAACACGAUGCCAGCACGUGCAUCUAAACAUCUUCAGGCUUCAUCAUGCAUGUGUUUUCACAUUUGCGACAUAGAUAACACAUCAUGACAAGUCCUUUUCGUUCCAUAUCACCUUUCGUGACUCCAAAAAAGACCGUCCAUUUGGUUAUCCAUCGAGCAUUGAUUCUUUCCGUGACGUACAUCCAAGAACGGUCCUUCGAUCUACUACACAAUACACAAGAAAACACGAAACAAAAUAGUUAGCCUAAUCAUUAACAAGGAGAUUAAGGUGUUAAUUAACCGGGGCUAACUAAAAAUUUGAAAUUAGAGACAUUCGGAAAGAAAUUGGAGGCCGGCAAGAAAGAUCGGGAGGGAGAGAGAGCUCGCAAGGGAGAGGGAAGCUCCGGGAUACGACGACGAGGCCGCAUUUUGGCCGGCGGCCGGAGCUCAAAAAAUUGAAAUUGGGGAACUUCGGAGAGAAAUUGGAGGCCGGCGAGAUAGAUCGGGAGGGAGAGAGAGCUCGCAAGGGAGAGGGAAGCUUCGGGCUUGAAGAUUGGAGCUCGCCGGGGAUAUGGCCGCUGCUGACGGGGGGAGAGAGGAGGAAGGGGAGAGGGAGGAGGAGGGGCUACCUGCUGGGCUCGCCGGCGGCCAUGGCGGCUUCGGGCAGGGCUCCGCCGUCUCCGGAGAAGAAGGACCCGCAGCUGGUUCGUUACGACGCGUAGCGCAACCAGCUGCGACUCUGCCUCGCGUAUUUAAACCGCGACUAUCAUCAGUGGCGGUCAGGAAUUGGGCUACCGUUAGUAAUAAUAGGGAUACAUCAGUAACGGUCGCUUUAAUUUGGCCCGUUACUGAUGUACCACACAUCAGUAACGGUCGGGCCGAGAGCGACCGUUACUGACAUGUAUCACACAUCAGUGACAGGUACAUUAGGGCGACCGUUACUGAUGUGUGGUACAUCAGUAACGGUGGUCUCUUACUUGACCGCCACUGAUGUCUCUUGCGAGGAAUGAUGGUACAUCAGUGGCGGUCACCUCUUGCGACCGUCACUGAUGUAUGGCUGGGCGGGGACGGGCAGAUCCCGCUCUGUUCAUCAGUAACGGUCACGCCGAACCCGUUACUGAUGCGCCGUGAGAUAUAGACCAUUUUGUAGUAGUGGAUCUUCCAUCGUGCAAAAAGAAUGGGUUCUCUUAUAUUUUCACAGCCCAGUUGCUAGCCGUCCCCGUCGCACAGUGAAAGUAAAACCAGCCAUGACCAUAUACUGGUGAAAAUACCAUCGUCCUCUUCUUCCCGGCUGGGAGCAAAUACAGGGUAGGUGGCUAGUUAGGUACUCCUAACUCCACUACAGUAGCAAUAGAUUUCAUGGGCAUACAGUCACCAUCCUUAGAGCAACCACAAUGUGGGCACAAGUAUGGCCAUAAGGCAAAAAGAUGAUCUUAUUGUUUAUCUUAUACAUUGUGAGAGUUGGCCAUAAGACAAAAAACUUAUGGGUUGGUCAUAAACUUGUCGCUAGCCACAGGAACUAAAGUAUAGUAUUUCUGUUCUUUUAUAUCUCUUGUUUCUACAAGUGACAUAUAUACCAUGCAGGACCCAUCUUAUAGCCUAUGUUACCAUACAUAUUGUACACAUUGCCACAAGCUUUUGUUUUAAUUUGUGGGUUCUAUGGUCAAAUUGUCCACAAACACUUGUGACGCCCUUGUCCCACAGCAUCGGUCGCCGGGAAACCAAAGGCAGAAGCAGGUCAGAAACCGUGGAAAAGCAGGCAACGUGGGCGUGGCAGGGACGAGGUGCAUGCACGCGUGGACCACCUGUACGCUGCUACACUUUCAUCGGUGCCUUGCACGGAUCACAGGGUGCAUUUGCAUACAUUUUAGCUAGUACUAUCACGUAGGUUGGGGCUGCCUCGGUCGACCAGUAAAGCAAGCACGUGAAGCACCAAAGCAGCUUUGGACUCACUCCACCUCUGAGCUGCUGUGGUCACUGCCUCGCUACUGACUGACCCAGUCGGCCUCAUGAUUUUGGAUGUGUUGAUCCGCGUGGUUGGUUGGGGCCCGGCUCUAGGGCGGCGGGUCGUCUCUUCUAGUAUUUCAGUUGAUUUGUGCACGAUUAAGCCGGCAAAAUACGCAGACCGUUGGUGUGCUACGUGACCGAAUCGGUCAUGAUUUCAAUGGGUUGGCUCUGAUCCGAUCCAGUCCAUCGUGGUAAGAUGCUUAGUCCACAUUGACACCGACAUAAGGUGUGUCAAAACGUGGUUAGCUCGUCUAACACGCUAUUAAGAUAUCUCUGUAACUCAUUAAACUAAUAUGCGAUGAAAUCUGUAAAAAAAAUGGUAAAAAUGAUGUUCUGCGCAACAUCGUCUUCAAUAGACGAUGAAAUGUGCAAUUCCAUCUAACGAAGGUGCAUAUUCCAGAUGGCAAUUGAACAUGCAUGUAUGACAGCCCGACUGAAAAAUCACUCGGGCUACAGGCUGAUCAUAUAUAUACACGUCGAUGUCGUUGAUGCCUCACCAGCCGCUCAUCUCACCUCUAAUGUCCUCGGCGAAACGGUUUUGCUAUAUUAGUAUCUUUUCCAAAAAGUUUGAAGGAAGAGAGCGAGAAACUCAAGAUCGAAUAGAAGUAAGCUGCUAUGUGUAAUACCACCAAAAUCAAGAAAACGAUGACUUAUCUGGUACUACCUGAUAUCCCUAACUUGGAACACGUACGGUAUGUGUUCGUAUGUUAUUAAACUCAACACCACCUAAAGUGGUUUAUGUACAUGCAUGCAUUCCCAUUCUCUUCUGUAUGCAUGAGUGCAUGACCGUUUUGUGCCAACUUUCAAACGAGUUAGGGCGAGAUUUUAUUUCUUUGUGAAGCAACAAGAAAACACCUGACGAGAAUGGUCACUGGAUUAUAUUUGUUUUACUGAAAUUUUAAAUUUAUCUGCAGUUUGAAUUUUAUGUCAAAAAAUCGAUACGAAAGUAAAACAGCAAGUUUCUCUUAAACCACCUGUCAAUUUAAGCUAAAUCUUUAUAAUACCAGUCACUAAACUAUGUUUGAUUUUAUUGGAAUUUUUUCAGCAUUUUCUGUGCGGUGAGCAUCGUGAACGGUUUCGAGGGUUCCGGGUUGUAAUAAAAAUAAAUUAUAUAUAGGACAAGUGUAGAAUGAACUUCUCUCAUGAAAAAAAAGCCAAAUCACUGCAUGGUAACAAACAACUUGUGUAUCGUGACAUAAAAUUGAAAUCCAUGUUCAGUCCACAUCUUGCGAAAAAAGAUGCGAAACAAAAGUUUUUGGGUGCAGAUUCAACUAAUUAGGCUAGCACCUCAACCAUUAUAACUAUCAGCAUUAAAUUUGUAUUAUUUCCCCCUCAAAUUGUCGUUCGGACUUCGGAAUAGAAAUGUGAAUGCGUGCAAUGGUAAACACGACGUGUUGUAUCUGUCUGGUGUUUCUUUUUCGAAAUUGUAGUACAGGACCUCGCAAGAAAAAAAAAACGUACAGAGAAGAAGCGUUUGUGGUAAAAGUCUCGAGCAUAUCCUCAACUGGGCCUCCCCGGGGCCAUCCGUCGCCGUGUCUCUUGACAGCCCAAAUCGGGUUCAUCUAGAAAAAGGAUACAUGAAGCUCCGUGUAGAGUUUCAGGUCCAACCGUCCAAGUGCGCAUCCGUUCCGCGUACAGGCCCAGCGCGGCCUAGCGAGCAGCGGCGGCGAGCUCAUUCAGCGAUCAAAUUGAGACUGGAACUGGCCCACGAUGCGCAGCGAGGGAAUUGACUACGAGGCCGUCUUCCUAUGAUUGUGAUACUAGGCCCGGAGCAUGUGUUGUAUACAGGAAGAAAGAAGUUCAUAUUUCAUUCCCAAAUAUAUCUCAAGGGACGCAUAACUCGUUGAAAUCGAAAAUCGUUUAUUUUUAACCAUGUAAUUAAUAAAACCGGACAAAUCAUCCCAUUAGGCGGUUUUCGUGAUGAUGGGGCCAAUUUAGGACGGUUUUGUUGUUGACUAAAAAAUUGACGUGCUGAUGUGUCUCCUGUUCUUCCCCUCUGCACGUUCCUCUCUGUGCCUGAACUACCUCCCGUGCCUUGACGCCUGUCCCCGUCCCCAGGCCGCGCCGCCGCCUGCCUGCUGACCCGCUCGCCGCCGCCCGCCCCUGCUGGCAUCGCCCGCGCCCUUGGCCGAGCUGGAGCUUGAGCCGAAAUCCAUGGCCUCCAGCCGCGCCGCCUUCUUCCCGACCACGGCGAGAUCCGCCGCCUUCGAGCCUUCCCGCGCUGCCGCUGCCUCCCGAAGGCGCGCCCGGACCCCACGUGCCUCCCUUCGCCCUCACUCGAGCCCGCGCCUGCCCAACUCUUCCCGUCUUCGCCAACGCCCGCACCACGCAACGCAGGUCGGCACGCCAGUCACCCGCGGAAUGCGCAACGCAGGGCGGCAUGCGGCCGCGCAUCUUGGUGUGUGACCCGCGCACGGAAGCGAUGUACAAGGCGGCGAGGCAAGGCCUGAAACAGCCAGUGAAGCCAAGUGCCACCGCUGCUCGUCGGCGGCGGCGGCGGCCGUCCAUUGCGACCGCGAGAGACCUCCUUUCUUCAAUUCCUUCAAGCCACAGCACCACUGAUACCUCAUGGCUAUUUCCCCUCUGUUGAUUUCAGAUUUGGAGCCCUCCGGCGAUCUCGUGUCGAGCGCAACCGCCGCUCGUUGGUGGCUGCCAUCGCCCUGCGUCCUCCACCUGACAUCGUUCCCCAGAAGCUGCACAGGAGGACAUCAUUGAACUGCUGAUCCGUUCCUCCCCCUUGUCCAGGCUGUGCUCAGAGUCAGAGAGGUCUGCAACGACAAUCUAAACAAGUUCCAUCCCCGCCGCCGCUAGCUUCCUCGCCGCCUCUAUGGCUCUCAUGCUUGGUUGCCCUGGCCGGCAUCUCUGGAUGCGCUGAAAGGGGAUUUUUUGUCAAAAAAAGAGACAUGAAACCUAUAACUGCCACGCCAUCAAGUCAAAAGUGAGGUCAACAAUCCUAGUCAGCGGCAAAACCGUUCUAGAUUAGCCUAAUGGGGUGAUUUAUCCGGUUUUGUUAAUUUCAGGAUUAAAAAUAAACGGUUUUCGAUUUCAGGGGGUCAUGCGUCCCUUGAGAUACAUUUGAGGGUGAGAUAUGGACUUUUUUCCUAUAGGAAACGAUAGCCUAUAGACUGCAAUGCAAGGCCUCACAUGUUCUAUGUCUCCGAUUUUGGGCCUCAAACGAUAGCUGAACUUGCAAACCCGCUGUAACAGCAAGUUUUUCUUCCUCUAAAAAAAACAAGUUUUUCUUUCAUGAUCUCAAAAAGGAAGAAAAGAAGGAAGUUUCUCUUUCACAUUGGCAACCAUCCAAAAGAUCCAUUUCUCGAAGAGCACAUUAACACUUGACACCAAUGAGACAUGGAACAAAUGACCAACUAUCGUUUCUCAUCAAAGGGCUGUACUCAUAUGCCAUUGUCGAGUUACUAUUUGGAUCCUUAAGGAAUGAGAAAAGGAAGAUGGGACGCGAGAGAUGCCGGAAAAAAAACUAAAAGAUAUGAUAUUUCUUUGUGCAUGGAAUAGCCGAAUUGCGACAUGCAAUCAUUUGGUGUUGGUUGUUGGAUGUUGGGUGGGUCUACCAGAAUAGCGGCAUCUUGGAUGGCAAUUUAAAGUGACGACUUGGGAAUAGAUAGAGGAGGAUGACGCAAGGAAAUUUGGAGGAGAGGUGAAAACGUCAUGGUGACUGCGACACAUACUGUGGGGCUGAUGUGGUCGACGUCAGGGGCAACUUGAAGGCAUUGGACUACGUAGGGUCGAAAGAGGCAAGAGAAUUUGGCGUCAUCCCAUCCCAAAGGGAUAUAUCACGGGAUGCCUACCGGAUUUUAGGGGUGGGCCCGCAAGGACGGUGGGGGGGGGGGUAUGGUGGUUUUGUGAAGGAACCUUUGUUGGGGGGGGGGGUGGAGUUUUUCUAGGAACUUUGUGAACUUAGGGUCAGUGAUACCAGAGAACGUCACACGACAGGUGUAGUUUGGCAAGACAUGCCUAAGUCCAAGGAUGUCGGGAGCAUAUCACAAAAUCUGUUGCGGAUAGGAAAAGAGAAGUGCCACACUGGAAAAAAUUGGGAUCGCAACGUAUGCAACCAUAGAUAUGCUCCUGACUAUAGACACGCCCUUGCUGUUGGACUUGUAGACGUGAUCACCAUUGCAGUCAUCGUUGACGGUGUCAUUCCCGUGGACUACCAUAGCGACAUGACUUUUGUCCUUGGCAUGCUAUUGGAUGACGAGCUCCUCGAGGGCUAGCUUCGAGCUAACGAUAUCAAAGGAAGGUGACGAGACAAUGUUGUUGAGAACGGUCACCAAGGUUUGGAACUCGUGCUCCUAGGCCUGAUGAGUUGCAUGGUGAGACCCUUGUCAAGAACGUGCGAGCCAAUGUUUUUAAGACAAAAGACAAUGACUUUUCCAAUGCGUGGAAUUUUUUAUUUCUUGUUGGAUAUUCUUGGUUCUUAAGGAUCUGACAUGGAAGAAAGUACAAAAUAAUAUGCUACGAAGAAUAUUUCCCCUAAAACCAAACGAAGAAGAGGAUGCUGCAGAAUAGAGUUCACAUGCUAAUCUUUUUUUUUAAGGAAGUUCACAUGCUAAUCUUUGCAACGAGUGAUUAGAUUCCUUAGAAGCAUAUCAGAGCAAACUCUUUUGCCAAAGCCCCUUUGCCAAAAUAGCCGUUUGAAUCACCGAAACCCAAAGGCGCCGCCAGCUGCCCAGCCACAAGGACAUCCCCGCUCGCCCCGAGCCGCAAGAUCAGAUCUCAACGGCUCGCAAAUACCUAACCCUCACCCAGGAACCUUCUAGAGCCUCACGAGCCCCUCUCUCUCCUAUAAAAUCUCUGCCUCCACGCCCUGCCCUCCUCCUCUCGAAACCCUAGUCCUCCCCCCUCCUCCGCAGAACCCGCCGCCACUUCUCCGCCUCCGGGAGAAAACACAAAAACCCUAGAGAGAUUUCAAGUUCGCCGGAGCUAGAGAGAGAUGGCGGCUAAGGGCGAUGGGCCGGCGAUCGGCAUCGACCUCGGCACGACGUACUCGUGCGUGGGCGUAUGGCAGCACGACCGCGUCGAGAUCAUCGCCAAUGACCAGGGCAACCGGACCACGCCGUCGUACGUGGCCUUCACCGACUCUGAGCGCCUCAUCGGCGACGCCGCCAAGAACCAGGUGGCGAUGAACCCCAUCAACACCGUCUUCGGUGAGCGUCUCUUCACUUUCAUCCCUUCCAUGCUCAGAUCUGGUUACUGUUUGAUAGAGUGAUUGGUUUUUGAGUGUUGAAUCUGCUCCGUUUAGUGCGUUUUAUAUUGGAUUAGCGGUGGUUGUAUGUAUUUAUUGUUAGGUGGUCGCUCAGAUCCAGUUUACAUGUAGAGAUCUAUCAUUAUUAUGUUGAGCUAGCUGUUAGCUAGUUGUUGAUAUAGCUCUGUUAGGUGUAGAGCAGAUCUGGACAGUUGAUCAGUUCAGAGUGUUUUGUCACUUCAUUGACAUGGAACUCAGAUCCGAUAUUAUUAGUAUAUAUUCUGUAUUUCGGUAUUACAUUGUUGCCAAAACGCAUAGUAUACUAUGAUUCUCUCGGUACGCAAUUAGUAAUUUAUGAAUUGUAGCGAUUAUUGUUCGAAUCCAACUAAAUUGUAUGGUAGAUAGCUCUUCUUGUUGCACAAUGUGGUAUUCACAUUGCUUAUUUUUUGAGUUCGUGGUUAUCUAUUUCUGAAGCUGCCAGAUUGAUGAUGAAAAAAAAUUCCAAGCGCCUUUAUCCUGACUUGUAUGAUGGAUGGCUAUGGCCUGUUUUUGUUUGCUAUCAUGUUUUGCGAAGCGAAAUUGGGGCAACUCUCAUUUGUGAUGUGCUCCUGUUUUGCCCGUUUAAUUUUAGGCGUGGCAAAGCUGGCAGCAAGCAAAAAACAUGGUCAUGGCUUUCAUGGUUUUCAAUCUGACCCAUCUGCAGCUCAAUCGUUGCUAAUCCUUUUAGUACUUGGUUUUAAUUGUAUCUUAUUAUUCUAAGGUAAACCUUUAAUUGUGAAUUGUUACUUUGUUAGUGUUGUCCAAUCCUUUUUUUCAUAUUUAUUCUGUUUUUAUUUUGUGAAAAAUUGGAUUGGAGAAAUGACGAUAUCAAAUCCAUACCACAUUUCUGCAUUCACUGUGAUGAUCAAUUUACAUCAUGCACUACCAUCUGAUCUCCCAUCCAAUUUUUAUUUGAGAUAUUUUUAGGUUAAACAUCUUUCGUUUUCUUGUGAGAUUUUUAAAGUAAACCUGAUGCUAUACAAUGCCUAACUGGUCUUGUUGUGCAAUCUGUGAUGCAAACAAUCCCAUUUACUGAAUCACUGAUUAUUAUAAUCAAGAUCACCAUCUUUCGGCUGAGAUUGCACACUCAUUAUGAUGUUGACUCGUGUUAAUAGACUGAUUAUCCUGCUUUUUGUUGCAUUGUUAAGGAUCAAAUGCCAUUGGUAUCUGACACGGAGUCAAUUUUGUGAUUCCCUGUCUCGAAACAUGGCAGAAAACAAGCGGGAACGGACCUUUGCGACACUGGCUGCUAGUACUUAUGAGCUUCCAGUUACUUUAUAUCCGUUUACAUGGCUUUGCAUUUCUUAUCUGUUUUGUUGACACAGUAGAGGUGUGUGUUGUGUUAAUUUCGUAGAACUUACUGUCUAAAGUAUUUUACUGUUUUUUAUCAGAAGCAUUACUGUCUUAAGUUUCAUAUCUUGGGUUGUUUACAUUCUCUUGCAUUAUGUUGGCAGCAUUUGCUCACGCAUGACUCUAUUAUGCAGAUGCCAAGCGUCUCAUUGGCCGGAGAUUUACUGAUUCCACCGUCCAGAGUGAUAUCAAGCUCUGGCCCUUCAAGGUUGUUGCUGGUCCUGGUGACAAGCCCAUGAUCAAUGUCCAGUACAAGGGUGAGGAGAAGCAGUUUGCAGCUGAAGAGAUCUCCUCGAUGGUCCUCAUCAAGAUGCGUGAGAUUGCUGAAGCAUUCCUUGGAACCACUGUGAAGAAUGCCGUUGUCACUGUUCCUGCAUACUUCAAUGACUCGCAGAGGCAGGCCACCAAGGAUGCUGGUGUCAUUGCUGGCAUCAAUGUUCUGCGUAUCAUCAACGAGCCAACUGCUGCUGCCAUUGCUUAUGGUCUUGACAAGAAGGCUUCCAGUGUUGGUGAGAAGAAUGUCCUCAUCUUUGAUCUUGGAGGCGGUACCUUCGAUGUCUCCCUUCUCACCAUUGAGGAGGGUAUCUUUGAGGUCAAGGCCACAGCUGGUGACACUCACCUUGGUGGUGAGGAUUUUGACAACAGGAUGGUCAACCACUUCGUCCAGGAGUUUAAGAGAAAGAACAAGAAGGACAUCAGUGGCAACCCAAGGGCUCUCCGGAGGCUGAGGACAUCCUGUGAGAGGGCAAAGAGGACUCUCUCCUCCACUGCCCAGACCACCAUUGAGAUUGACUCGCUGUUCGAGGGCAUUGACUUCUACUCCACCAUCACCCGUGCCAGGUUUGAGGAGAUGAACAUGGAUCUGUUCAGGAAGUGCAUGGAGCCUGUGGAGAAGUGCCUCAGGGAUGCCAAGAUGGAUAAGAGCACUGUGCAUGAUGUUGUCCUUGUUGGUGGUUCCACCAGGAUUCCCAGAGUGCAGCAGCUUCUUCAGGACUUCUUCAACGGCAAGGAGCUGUGCAAGAGCAUCAACCCUGAUGAGGCUGUUGCCUACGGGGCUGCUGUCCAGGCUGCCAUCUUGAGCGGAGAGGGCAAUGAGAAGGUCCAGGACCUGCUGCUGUUGGAUGUCACCCCUCUUUCUCUUGGUCUGGAGACAGCUGGAGGUGUUAUGACAGUCUUGAUCCCAAGGAACACCACCAUCCCAACCAAGAAGGAGCAGGUCUUCUCCACCUACUCGGACAACCAGCCUGGUGUGCUCAUCCAGGUGUAUGAGGGUGAGAGGACCAGGACCCGGGACAACAACCUCCUUGGCAAGUUCGAGCUCUCUGGCAUCCCUCCUGCACCCAGGGGUGUUCCUCAGAUCACCGUCUGCUUUGACAUUGACGCCAACGGCAUCCUGAACGUGUCUGCUGAGGACAAGACCACUGGCCAGAAGAACAAGAUCACAAUCACCAACGACAAGGGCAGGCUGAGCAAGGAGGAGAUUGAGAAGAUGGUCCAGGAGGCUGAGAAGUAUAAGUCCGAGGAUGAGGAGCACAAGAAGAAGGUGGAGUCCAAGAACGCCCUGGAGAACUACUCGUACAACAUGCGCAACACCAUCAAGGACGAGAAGAUCGCCUCCAAGCUGCCGGCGGACGACAAGAAGAAGAUCGAGGACGCCAUUGAUGCUGCCAUCCAGUGGCUGGACACUAACCAGCUUGCUGAGGCUGAUGAGUUUGAGGACAAGAUGAAGGAGCUGGAGAGCCUGUGCAACCCGAUCAUCGCCAAGAUGUACCAGGGCGCCGGUGCUGACAUGGAGGGCUCGGGCAUGGACGAAGACACCCCUGCUGCUUCCGGCGGCCCUGGCCCCAAGAUCGAGGAGGUCGACUAAGCGAGUCGCCGUCGUUUUGUGGCAGCUGCGCGCUGAUGCGUUGCUGCUAGUUAU